UCCCUGGUUGUCUAUUGGUAAGGAUUCGGCGCCUCACCGGCCGGCCCGGGUUCGGUUCCCGGUCAGGGAA